rnacentral:lncRNA from 1 species
CACACGCCACCGUGAGCGGACCCCGGGGGACCGAGGCGGGGCGGGGCCGGGGCCGGGGGCGGGGGCGGGGCCCCGGGGUGGUCCGGGCGCGUCACUCCCGGCUCCCGGCUCCCGGCUCCCCGCUCCCCGCUCCCCGCGCGCGCCGGGAAUCGCACCCGAGCUUGCAGCCCUGCAAUUCCGCGGAGGGCGCCCCGCACCUGGCCCCAGAGCUUCAGGCCCCGGGGACCCAAGGGGCGUGGAGGGUGCGGGGCGCGCGGCGGGAAGGCAGCGGGGGCCCCGCGGUGCAGGGCGCCCCCCUCCGCCCGGAGGCCCUCCCGCCCCUGACCGAGUCGCGGCGCCCCGGGGACCGGCCGCGGGCGGGGCGCGAGGCGGGCGGCCGCAGCCCCCGACCCUACCUCAUGGCCGCGGAGCCUCUGCGGGCGGCGGCGGCGGCGGCGGCCGGGCCUGGGGCGGCGCGGGCUGCGCGGGCUGCAGCGGCCGUCGCCUCAUUCCAUGUCCCAUCCUCGAAUGUUAUCCUGUGACAUGGACCCGAGUCACCCGGGCGGCCGCCGACGUUCCGAACGCGUCCAUUGGCCACCGCAACAAAGAGGGGCGGGCCCCGCGCUCGGGACUCCGCGGCCGCGAGCUCCGCGCGCUCUGAUUGGCUCCGCGGGUUCCCGGGCCGGAGGGGCGGGGCGCGGGGGGAGCCCGGCGGCGGCGCGGAGUCCCGGGGUGGCGUGUCCUGGCGGCCCCCGCGGGGCGGAGCGCUGGUCCCGGGGCCUGAGGCCGGGAGCGGGGCGCUGCGAGGGUCUGCAGGUGUGCAGCGCAGGGCGGAAACGAAGCCGCCCCCAGGGACACUCAGGAGCCUGGCCAUAAUGUCCUUUCUCUUUAAACUCCAUGCCAGCUUUGAGAGGGUAAGCAGUUGUGAGAGCAAUGCCGAGUUAACCUGGAGUUUAGAACAUGAUCAUCAAACAGCCGCUGAUGAUGGAGGGCAUG